UACGUAGGUGGCAAGCGUUGUCCGGAAUUAUUGGGCGUAAAGCGCGCGCAGGCGGUCUUUUAAGUCUGAUGUGAAAGCCCACGGCUCAACCGUGGAAGGUCAUUGGAAACUGAGAGGCUUGAGUACAGAAGAGGAAAGCGGAAUUCCACGUGUAGCGGUGAAAUGCGUAGAGAUGUGGAGGAACACCAGUGGCGAAGGCGGCUUUCUGGUCUGUAACUGACGCUGAGGCGCGAAAGCGUGGGGAGCAAACAGG
rnacentral:rRNA from 1 species